ensembl:snoRNA small nucleolar RNA, C/D box 37
CUUUGUGAUGACUGAAAUUUCUUCACUUUGACCUGAUGUCUCUUGAAGAAACCCAGUGUCUGAAA